rnacentral:sRNA from 1 species
AGUCAGCCUCCUUCUUCCCGGCCUCAACUCCAGGCCCUCAGGACUCCAGGAAACUGCUCUGUGUUUGGAGUGUAGAUCUCUUAAGUGCCGACUUCUUGUCGUUGGGAAAACCAAUAGACGGCUCUUAAAAAAAAAAAAAGGAAGCGCUUCAAAAAUGGACCAUCAGGGGAAUCACGCAGAGUCCCUAAGCAGGCCUACGAUCCUAAGCAGCUUAUGUCUUCAAAGUUCCCAAACACUUAGAAUCUAGGAGAACUUGUGAGGAAACUCCCAGAAAACCAACACUGAAGCUGUAGACAGUUUGGUGGGAGAGGCAGAAGCAUGCUUUGGCUACUUUUUCAAAGUGCAGGAGUCUUGAGCAUCCAGCGGAACUGAGCAGUGGUGCGCCAGGGUUGGGCCCUUCACCUGGCCUCCGUCCCCCAUAAAAUGUGUUUACAAAAUAUGGGAAGUGUUACAUGUUUAACUCAGGCGAGGAUGGCAAACCUCUGCUCACCACGGUCAAGGGGGGGACAGGCAACGGGCUGGAGAUCAUGCUGGACAUUCAGCAGGAUGAGU